GCCAGGCGUGGUGGCUCACGCCUGUAAUCCCAGCACUUUGGGAGGCUGAGGCAGGUGGAUCACUUGAGGUCAGGAGUUCAAGACCAGCCUGACCAACAUGGUGAAACCCUGUCUCUA
rnacentral:SRP_RNA from 1 species